AGUGUACACUCAACCUGUGAAGGAAAUAAAAAAUGAAGGCGGACAAAAGUAGAGGGAUUGGGAAUUCAAUGUAAUGGUUCUUAGUCAUCUCCCAGAGUUCUUUCGCUGGGCGUAGCUGGUUCAGUUCAUUACUGCUCCAUUGGAACUGAUUUGGUUGAUCUCGUUGCUGAGGAUGGCCAGGUCCAUCAGAACUGGUCAUCCUAUAGUAUUGUUGUUGAAGUAUCUAAUGAUCUCCUGGUCCUGCUCAUUUCACUCAACAUCAGUUCAUGUAAGUCUCUCCAAGGCUUUCUGAAAUCAUCCUGUUGGUCAUUUCUUACAGAACAGUAAUAUUCCAUAAUAUUCAUAUACCAUCACUUAUUCAGCCAUUCUCCAAUUGAUGGGCAUCCACUCAGUUUCCAGUUUCUGGCCACCUCAAACAGGGCUGCCACAAACAUUUUGGCACAUACGGGUCCCUUCCCCUUCUUUAGUAUCUCUAUGGGGUAUAAGCCCAGUAGUAGCACUGCUGGAUCAAAGGGUAUGCACCGUUUGAUAACUUUUGGGGCAUAAUUCCAGAUUGCUCUCCAGAAUGGUUGGAUUCGUUCACAACUCCACCAACAAUGCAUCAGUGUCCCAGUUUUCCCACAUCCCCUCCAACAUUCAUCAUUAUUUUUUCCUGUCAUCUUAGUCAAUCUGAAAGGUGUGUAGUGAUAUCUCAUUGUUGUCUUCAUUUGCAUUUCUCUGAUCAAUACUGAUUUGGAACACUCUUUCAUAUGAGUGGAAAUAGUUUCAAUUUCAUCAUCUGAAAAUUGUCUGUCCAUAUCCUUUGACCAUUUAUCAAUUGGAGAAUGGCUUGAUUUCUUAUAAAUUAGAGUCACUCUCUAUAUAUUUUGGAAAUGAUUAGGCUGAUUGAGUAUUAUGUCCACUGCCCUUCCCUGUGAAUAAAGUCAGGAGUCUGGUAUCUAGGGCUUCCCUUUGCAUCUCAUCAGAAGACUUGAUGCAUGUGGGUCUCAUCUCCACAAGCACUGCUG
rnacentral:lncRNA from 1 species